CGUUCGAGCCUUUUAACCAAUCAAAGCAACGGAAAGGGGGUCAAGUCACCUUCCCACCAGGCCAUGCCAUGUAAACAAAGCAGCAUGGUCGGCUGUAGUGAAGAGUCUGAGGAGGGAGACGCGAAAUCUUCGCCAAAUUCUCAUCUUUCGUGUUGCAUGCACAUACCUGUAGAAGAAGGUAGCUAAUUAAGAGACUCUAGAUACCAUCACACGUUUUCGCUGGGAAACUUUUAGAGUCGCAGCGAAACAAUGGCUGAAAUUUGGCAGCAGAGAAGCCGCUGCUGUUCAGUGGAUCCGUACGGAUUUAGAUAGAGCCUUAGAGGAUUCGACGAUUUGGAAGCCAAACCACGAUGUCACUACUCUUGCUACAGAAAGCUAACUAACAAGAAGGGGUUAUCUCAGGCGGCAAAGAAGUAUGAGAAAGCUGAGAAACAAGGCAGUCUUGCUGAAGAAGAACCAUCAACCAGUUGUACUCUUCCCAAAAUACAAGGUCCAUCUCCCAAGAAAUUGAGAUCAGUCUCAGGGUUUGGUAUAUCAAAGUCACCAGUACUGCCAGCUAUCUGCAUUAUUUGUAAAAAAAAAAAAAAAGUUGUGGUCGUCUAAUUUUUGCAAGUGUUUUGAUAUUUAAUGGGGACACACUCAUUUUGAUGUAAUUUUAACAUUCAUAAUAUUUUUUUAUUGUUUUGUAUGUCCUUAAUUUGUUUGAGAUUGAGCUAUUUAAUUCCUGCCAGAAUAGUUUUUCGAUUUUUAUGUUCAAUAUUUCUACAAGGUUUUCUAUUUGAUAUAAUUUCUUUGGUGGGUUGUUAUCUUCGGAUAGAUUCUGUCCUUGUGUUUCCCUUUGUAUCUUGCUCAAGAUUGUGCACCUGAUUUACAGUUCUAUUAUCUACUGGUAGUUGUUCCAGUCUAAGACUAAUCUUUAGACAGGUUUAGUUAUAGUUGAAAUAAUAGGGUAACUGCCGAGCUCAGCUCUAAAAAUGGUAUUGCUAGCCUGCUUUCUUAGACCUACAAUCCAUUUGCAAAACUUUAAGUGUACCUGUUCAAAUGGCAUUUUAUUAAUCUUUUUCAGAUAUGCACAGGAAAUGUAUAAAGUUAUAAUUUCACAGUUGAAAUAAUUAAGUUGGAAAAAAUAUAUUAUAUAUAUCAUAA